AUUUUUGCCCAAUUUCCUUUCCCGUCUAGUAUGAUUCUAAACCUAAUUCUUUCCCUCCAUCACAUUCCUAAACCUAAUUCUAUCCUCCCUCCCAUUCAACGUCUCAUACACAGGAAAUAGAAUCUUCUCUCCCCAAACAAGACAAGACACAGCGACUACGUACAAGGGCGACAACUAGUGGCGAUUACUGCUCCAACAUUUGUAAUCGGUACAAUAUCUGAAUCGCUUCGAUCGUCGACCGAACAUUUGAAGUCGUCAUUCCCCAAUUCUCCAUUGAAGAGAGGACUAUAAUCUAUAACUACAUAACCAUGCCUGCUUAUGGAUGCUCAAUUGAGAAGUCUUAUGAUGUAUAGCAUAAUGCGGAACCUGAGGCUGCAGAUCUCUUGAUGGAGGUAUUCUACUUUAUGACUUUAGAGACGGAGGAUGGUUCCAGCCCAACACCCUUUGAGAGGGGUGCAUGCUAAUGAAGUCGUUUGAUUUUCAUCACACUGAGCCUCCACCAAAUGAUUACGUGGCGGAAGUCAGUCCAAGUAAUCUUUCAAUGCGAGUUGGUCAAAGCAUACGUGAUACAUUUGCCCGUUUCCCGUUUUGAGCUAGGUUGUAUGCCACCUAGGCAUCCAACACCUAGGUCAGUUGAUGCAGCAGAUCUGGAUUAUUUUGAUGUUGUUUAUUUUCAUGACCGGAUCUUCAUUUGCAUUAGCACACAUCCAAAUUUUGAUGACUGCUUCAAAAUAUGUUUCCAACCGUAUGGGCUAAUCAUAGUGAUGAUAUAGGCAUCCAGUAGUAUUCUUGGACCCUGCCCUAAAAGGUGAUUUUCAGGUACAUCAACAUGAACAGACAGGUCCUGGCAUUGCACUUCAGCCCCCAACAUAACCUUUCUCUAGCAAAGAAUCCCAUUAUUGAUCGAAUCGAGGCGGAUCCAAUUCAUUGGAAACUCUUUAACUAGUAACGAAUUAUCAUCUAUUUCAAGAAGUUACGAUAAUGAUGGUAUAGUUGAAACACAUUGUUUGGACAUCAAGGAAUUGUAAACCCUAAUUGAAUGUAAACACUUACAUCGAGUUUA